rnacentral:rRNA from 1 species
UACGUAGGGGGCAAGCGUUGUCCGGAAUUAUUGGGCGUAAAGAGCGUGUAGGCGGCUCGCUAAGUCCGCUGUGAAAGUCCAGGGCUCAACCCUGGAAAGCCGGUGGAAACUGUCGAGCUAGAGUCCGGAAGAGGCGGGUGGAAUUCCUGGUGUAGCGGUGAAAUGCGCAGAUAUCAGGAGGAACACCAAUGGCGAAGGCAGCUCGCUGGGACGGUACUGACGCUGAGACGCGAAAGCGUGGGGAGCAAACAGG